GCUGGAUUUGACUCCAGCUACGUGAGGCGUUUAACGUCUAAACCCGAAAAGACAAUUGCAUUGUUAGAUGCAUGGUCCAGAAAACCUGACGGUACAAUAGGGAAGCUGUUGACCGCCUUAGAUACACUUGGAAGGUUGGACUGUAAAACAGAUAUUACACCAAGUAUUGCAAGAGAUAUUAAAAACUGGUUACAGAGUGAUGCCAAGGAACCUAACCAACCAGGUGCAGACAUUCCGCGCGAGCAACCGCCGAAGUUGAAAAUCCCCCCAGCAACACCUAGCAACAAACAGCACCAGGACUAUGUAUCAUCGCCAGUGUCUCCCACCAGGUCAACCGGAAGUGACCCCACAGACCACAACGAUGGGGCGCUAACCUUGGACGACCUUGACGGAAACCAAGCUUCCUAUGUUGCCUGCAUAUGUUGCUCUGAUGACGACAUAGAGAUUGCGCACACGAUCAUCGAAGCAUACCGAGAGGUUACGAACACUGUGCAGUUCUUCCUGCCCCAGGAGCAACUGUUAGGAGGAAAGUACGAAUACGAGUCACUAGCAGAAGUCAUAGAGGACAGGUGCGAUGGCCGACUUCUGGUGAUUAUGUCCAGAACCUAUGUUUCCAGUCCCGCCUGUAUAUUCUCUACACAAUUCGUCAAAUCCUUGGAUCCAGAUGCAAAGAGAAGGAAGAUUAUCCCCAUCAUCAAAGAUGAAGAUGCGACAUAUCCCAGAGUUCUGCGCGGCAUUAAUGCUAUAAAGCUCCAGCGCCUCAAGUUUAGUCUUCCAUUUUGGAAACUCUUGUCCGCCUCUUUGGACAUAAAGUACAUUCCUAAACACAGUCAGACCGACAGCUCUUUGUUGUCGCCAUCAAGUGCAGGUGCACCUAAGUCUUCAACCUCGUACACUUCCAGUUCAUCUUCACCCUCUUUGUCUUCAAGCAUUUCAUAUCCGUCGUCAUUCUCCGGCAAAUCUGUCCCAUCCAGAACCUUCUCGGUUGAAUCUCUUGAGAGUAUUAUUGAUAACGAAAACGUUUCUCGAGUGUACGGUCUCCAACAUCAGUCCUCCACGACAAGUACAGUUUCAAAUACUUCGUUGUCAUAUCAUUGCCAGAAUGUUUCGUCGGCCUCACAUUCAUCAUUGAUGAAUGGUUCUAAGAAAGACCAGUCUUCCCAAAAAGAUGAUUGUACGGUACGUCUUCAUCACUCUAAGAGCGACCAGGGCAUGUCUGGAAUGCUACGUUCUUCUGAGAGUUCGUGUUCUAGCUGCAAUCCGGGAACAGUGAAAAAAUCCGGCAGAAAAUUUAUGUCAAAACUCAUGAAAACGUUCGGGUUAAGAAGUAAAAGUUCCAAGUCCCUUGUGGAAGAUCCCAUGAGAUCCUCCAAUGCACCUUCACCCAUACGAUCCAAUUCCGAACCAGCAGAAACUUUACAGAGAGCUUUCAAAUCGUGCGAUGAUAUAUUCAAUGAUCAAAGAAGAGAUAAGACAAAACUACAUUUUGUUCAAAAUAUUGUGACAUCUUUGAAAACUGGCCUUUCUGGAUCCAGGGAACUCACAGAAAGUGGUCAAAAUUUGUCGACAGAAUCCAGAAGUGAGAGUCUGAUAUCCCCAGUUUCUUCAGCUGGUGACAUUCAAUCGAGUCCUGUCGUUGAGCUUCCAUUGAAUAUCCGUAUGAACACAUUCAACAUCAUUCAAAGGGAAUAUUCUGUAGAUGGCAACACGGAGUCGGCCAUCCUGCGAUCAUCCGGGUACUCCGACACAAACACAGAGUCGGCCAUCUUGAGAGGAGCAGGGUCGACAGAAAGUAUUGACGACAACAAUGCGCAGUUUACUCUCUGUUGAUGUGUCGUAGAUAAAGUCCCGCCAUGUAUCUGUAAUGCUCUGGCACUACUCUUGGUAAACGCAAUUGUACAUAUUCAAUGUAAAUGUCAGAUUUAAAGAAAGAUAACCGGCAUGUUUAAUUAUUUGUAUCCCCAAAUGUAUGAAAUAAAAGGGUGAAAAAUG
rnacentral:misc_RNA from 1 species